rnacentral:rRNA from 1 species
UACGUAGGUGGCAAGCGUUGUCCGGAUUUACUGGGCGUAAAGAGCGCGCAGGCGGUCGUGCAAGUCGCGUGUGAAAGCCCCCGGCUCAACUGGGGAGGGUCACGCGAUACUGCUCGACUCGAAGGCAGGAGAGGGAAGUGGAAUUCCUGGUGUAGCGGUGGAAUGCGCAGAUAUCAGGAGGAACACCCAUAGCGAAGGCAGCUUGCUGGGACGUUACUGACGCUAAGGCGCGAAAGCGUGGGGAGCGAACAGG